rnacentral:rRNA from 1 species
GACGAACGCUGGCGGCGUGCUUAACACAUGCAAGUCGAACGGAAAGGCCCUGCUUUUGUGGGGUUCUCGAGUGGCGAACGGGUGAGUAACACGUGAGUAACCUGCCCUUGACUUUGGGAUAACUUCAGGAAACUGGGGCUAAUACCGGAUAGGAGCUCCUGCUGCAUGGUGGGGGUUGGAAAGUUUCGGCGGUUGGGGAUGGACUCGCGGCUUAUCAGCUUGUUGGUGGGGUAGUGGCUUACCAAGGCUUUGACGGGUAGCCGGCCUGAGAGGGUGACCGGCCACAUUGGGACUGAGAUACGGAGCAGACUCCUACGGGAGGCAGCAGUGGGGAAUAUUGCACAAUGGGCGGAAGCCUGAUGCAGCAACGCCGCGUGCGGGAUGACGGCCUUCGGGUUGUAAACCGCUUUCGCCUGUGACGAAGCGUGAGUGACGGUAAUGGGUAAAGAAGCACCGGCUAACUACGUG